rnacentral:tRNA from 1 species
GGUUGUGGCCCAGUGGUAGAGCACUCACCUCUCAUGUGUGAAGCCCUGGGUUCAAUCCCCAGCACCA